UACGUAGGGUGCGAGCGUUAAUCGGAAUUACUGGGCGUAAAGCGUGCGCAGGCGGUUCGUUGUGUCGGCGGUGAAAGCCCCGGGCUCAACCUGGGAAUGGCCGUUGAAACUGGCGAACUGGAGUGUGGCAGAGGGGGGUGGAAUUCCGCGUGUAGCAGUGAAAUGCGUAGAGAUGCGGAGGAACACCGAUGGCGAAGGCAGCCCCCCUGGGCUAACACUGACGCUCAGGCACGAAAGCGUGGGGAGCAAACAGG
rnacentral:rRNA from 1 species